AUGACCUGCAAGACAUUUCUCAGUUUUUUUAGACCUAUUUGGUUCCUGAUGGGCAAACAGUUUGACCAGUUGGUUGCAGCACUAAGGAAUAAGGGGCCCUGCACUCAGUUCCCAGCAACCUUGUCAUGGAGCUCAGAAUCACCCAUAACUCCAACUUCAGGGGAACCCAAUGCCUCUGACCUCCGUGGGCACCCACACUCACAAGGACACACCCACUCUGAUGUCCUAGCUGCCUGGAAGCCAGUGUUCUGCUUGAGGCCUUCAGAUGAAGAUGUAAAACUCUCACCUCUUCCUGCACCAUGCCUGCCUGGAUGCUGCCAUGUUUGUGCCUUGAUGAUAAUGGACUGA
rnacentral:lncRNA from 1 species